AGCAGCCGCGGUAAUUCCAGCUCCAAUAGCGUAUAUUAAAGUUGUUGCAGUUAAAAAGCUCGUAGUUGAAUUUCGGGGUUAGUAGGUUGGUCAUGCCUCUGGUAUGUACUGGUCUCACUGAUUCCUCCUUCCUGAUGAACCUUAAUGCCAUUUAUUUGGUGUUUUGGGGAAUUUGGACUGUUACUUUGAAAAAUUAGAGUGUUUAAAGCAAGCUAACGCUUGGAUACAUUAGCAUGGAAUAAUGAAAUAGGACGUUCGAUCCUAUUUUGUUGGUUUCUAGGAUUGACGUAAUGAUUAAUAGGGAUAGUUGGGGGCAUUAGUAUUCAAUUGUCAGAGGUGAAAUUCUUGGAUUUAUUGAAGACUAACUACUGCGAAAGCAUUUGCCAAGGAUGUUUUCAUUAAUCAAGAACGAAAGUUAGGGGAUCGAAGACGAUCAGAUACCGUCGUAGUCUUAACCAUAAACUAUGCCGACUAGGGAUCGGAUGAUGUUAAUUUUUAAUGACUCAUUCGGCGCCUUACG
rnacentral:misc_RNA from 1 species